GUCUUUUCAAGAUAAAAGUUUAUACUUCAAAAUAAAUAAUUAUAAAACAACUCUAAUGGUAAAUUUUACGGGUGUGACGGGAAAAUCUAAAGCGUAACAGAGUUGUUUCACAAUUACAAAAAUAUAUAUGGCUCGAAGACAAAGCAAACUCUACAUUCUUCAACUUUUUUUGGAUACGAACUGUUUUUGGUUAAGUGAUCGAAAUUCUCACUUGAGUAUGGAAAGAAAUGCUUUAUCGCGAUGCUUAGAUCCUAAGUAAGAGAAGUCGAUUCGUCAUAAUGCAUCUGAGAUCAAUUGUUAAGUGGUUAGCAAGACAUUGUCUUAAACAACAAAAUUUCAUUGCUUGACGCAAAUUAAUUUCCACAAAAUGCCUUAACAUUUUGACAAUGCAUUGACAGCAUACUUCAUUUAAACCCAGAAAUUAUACUUUUAACGAAC
rnacentral:lncRNA from 1 species